rnacentral:misc_RNA from 1 species
GCCACUUUUAUUCGUCUGAGCUCCUUACAUAGUGUGAUGAAGUCUCCCCAUUUCAUGUGACAUCGCCUUAUAAACCGUAGAAUCUGUUCAGUUGUGAACAUGGACAUACCCUCCAGAUAUUCUCCAUUAACACCAUUUUCCUUGAAAAUCUGGCGGUAGCUACCCAGAUUUAUCUCUUCCAACCACAAACCAACAUCCUCAACAGUCCAAAUGAAGAAAUCGAGAGGCUCCGGUCGCCUUUCUUUGCUCAUUUCCUUAGUAAAAUAUCCCAAAUUACCUUAUCGUGCGAAUGCGAGAGAAUGUGGAAAUUUAGAGAGUGAAUUUUCUCUCCAUUUGAGGGGAAAAAAAUUAAAAAAAAAAUUGGGAAAAAG